rnacentral:lncRNA from 1 species
GUUUUUUUUUUUUGCCACCACUGCCAAGAAUGUCAUUUCACGCUGAAAUUUUGCAAACAUCGAAAACUGUUGUUGUAAAAAAAACAGGAUUUUUUUUUUGAAUAUUUUCGAUUUUACUGUUCAUCCCGAACUUGUCUCCGCCAUUUUGCUGACAAUUUGUUAGUACAACUUUGGACGCCCACUACAAACUUAGAUGAUUUGAUUUGACCGUAUACAGCCACGGAAUAUAGGCGCUUUAACGGUUUGACCGUGCCUGGAUGGUUGCCUUCCCCGCCACACAGUACACAGAACACCGGUGAAGGUCCGUGCGCACCACGGCUGCCAGUAGACUGGCUGCAAUAUCGGUAAAAGUAGCGAUUCGCAGUAAUUAAAGAAAAUGUAAGGCACAUAACAACUUUAAUGAGCUUCUGGUCAGUGGCAGGAACAGAAAACCAUUCAACCAAAAAUUGCAAAGCAGUAAGCCAGCGAGGAAUUUUAUGACCAAUAGAAAGUACUACCGCUGUUCCUAAAUAUAAGAUGUUUUAGCAGUUGAAAUCGAACUGCCAAAACAUCUUAUAUUUAAGAACAGACGGCGUAUAUAUCAAAACAACUAAAAAGUGGAUAAUUAAGAGCAACUAAAAAGUGGAUAUAAUACUCAAAGUGAACAUCCCGAAAGGACCAGCAUCUCUGAGAAAUAAGUUCUGAUGGGCUAAUGCUCAAAUAUCUGAAACUGUUUUAGCAUAUAAAGACCACUCGCGAUCACAAGGAUAGCAUCAACCUUAACAAAUCCUUACUCCAUGUUGGUAACAAAAACAUCAAGGAGGCAACAAACACUGCCAACAAAGAUACUUGAGAAGAACUACAACUAAGAUUCUUGGACGAAUGCAGCCACUCCGUUAGCUUAGAUAGCUUUCCUUGGUGCGACGACGUU